CCAUCUGAGUUGAGUGGGUGAAUAAUGAAAAGCAGUUGACUCUGCGUUUUUAUUAGCAGCUCAAUUGUGUUGCUAGUCAUCUGACUCACUAGUGUUCGUCAGUAUGAAAUGCUCAGCAGAUCAGUGUUUCAACUUCUAUGUGUUUCAGU